rnacentral:rRNA from 1 species
UACAGAGGUCUCAAGCGUUGUUCGGAUUCAUUGGGCGUAAAGGGUGCGUAGGCGGCGCGGUAAGUCGGGUGUGAAAUCUCGGAGCUUAACUCCGAAACUGCAUUCGAUACUGCCGUGCUUGAGGACUGGAGAGGAGACUGGAAUUUACGGUGUAGCGGUGAAAUGCGUAGAUAUCGUAAGGAAGACCAGUGGCGAAAGGCGGGGUCUCUGGACAGUUCCUGACGCUGAGGCACGAAGGUCAGGGGGAGCAAACGGG